rnacentral:rRNA from 1 species
UACGAAGGGGGCUAGCGUUGUUCGGAUUUACUGGGCGUAAAGCGCACGUAGGCGGCUUGGUAUGUCGGGUGUGAAAUCCCCGGGCUCAACCUGGGAACUGCAUCCGAAACUGCCUUGCUAGAGUAUGGGAGAGGGAAGUGGAAUUUCCGGUGUAGCGGUGAAAUGCGUAGAUAUCGGAAGGAACAUCAGUGGCGAAGGCGGUUUACUGGUCUCCAACUGACACUGAGCCGCGAAAGCAUGGGUAGCGAACGGG